AUGCACGCUGGCGGCGUGCCUAAUACAUGCAAGUCGCGCGCACGGACGAGAAGCUUGCUUCUCUGAUGUUAGCGGCGGACGGGUGAGUAACACGUGGAUAACCUACCUAUAAGACUGGGAUAACUUCGGGAAACCGGAGCUAAUACCGGAUGAUAUUUUGAACCGCAUGGUUCAAAAGUGAAAGACGGUCUUGCUGUCACUUAUAGAUGGAUCCGCGCUGCAUUAGCUAGUUGGUAAGGUAACGGCUUACCAAGGCAACGAUGCAUAGCCGACCUGAGAGGGUGAUCGGCCACACUGGAACUGAGACACGGUCCAGACUCCUACGGGAGGCAGCAGUAGGGAAUCUUCCGCAAUGGGCGAAAGCCUGACGGAGCAACGCCGCGUGAGUGAUGAAGGUCUUCGGAUCGUAAAACUCUGUUAUUAGGGAAGAACAUAUGUGUAAGUAACUGUGCACAUCUUGACGGUACCUAAUCAGAAAGCCACGGCUAACUACGUG
rnacentral:rRNA from 1 species